rnacentral:rRNA from 1 species
CCUACGGGAGGCAGCAGUGGGGAAUUUUGGACAAUGGGCGCAAGCCUGAUCCAGCCAUGCCGCGUGAGUGAAGAAGGCCUUCGGGUUGUAAAGCUCUUUCGGCAGGAACGAAAUGGCUCGUGUUAAUACCACGAACUGAUGACGGUACCUGAAGAAGAAGCACCGGCUAACUACGUGCCAGCAGCCGCGGUAAUACGUAGGGUGCAGGCGUUAAUCGGAAUUACUGGGCGUAAAGCGUGCGCAGGCGGUUUCUUAAGUCAGAUGUGAAAGCCCCGGGCUUAACCUGGGAACUGCGUUUGAAACUGGGAGACUUGAGUGUGGCAGAGGGGGGUGGAAUUCCACGUGUAGCAGUGAAAUGCGUAGAUAUGCGGAGGAACACCGAUGGCGAAGGCAGCCCCCUGGGCUAACACUGACGCUCAUGCACGAAAGCGUGGGGAGCAAACAGGAUUAGAUACCCUGGUAGUCCACGCCCUAAACUAUGUCAACUGGUUGUCGGGGGAUUGAUUCCCUUGGUAACGAAGCUAACGCGUGAAGUUGACCGCCUGGGGAGUACGGCCGCAAGGUUAAAACUCAAAGGAAUUGACGG